CCUGUCUGCCUACUGUCGAAAAAAUACGAGCCACUAGCGCCGCAAAAACUCUUUGGAGAAAAAAAUGGAGAAAAAAAAAAGAGUUCAGAGCUAAAAAGUCAAGAGUUAUUGAUUCCAUUUUAACACCUUCAGAUUUGAUACGGGAACACUUUGUUUUAAAACUCGAUUUUAACUAGAAAUAAUAAUAUACUCCCCAGAGUUACAUAAUCAGAAUGUGACUCUAUUAGAGUGAAAUGAACCCUGCUUUUGCACAGUCUCUAACACCAAAACAUUUAACACUUUUGAAUUAGCUUUUUCUGCACUCAUUUAUAGAUUAUUCUAAGUGUGAUGGCGAACCACACAGAGUAAGAUCCACAGCUGACCACAAUAUUAUCAUAAUAUUGCAAGUUAUUUAAUAAUGGUAAGUUUAACAAUGUGUCUCCACUUAUAAGGUGAACUGAAGUGGAGAUUGUUUGAUAGUUACAACAUUACAAAAAAAAAUCUUUAGUAAUUUCUGCUUGUUUUGUGUGUUGCACUAUUCACUGGAAAACUCUAGGUAGGAUUUUAGAGCCUCUCCUCCCUGCCCCAGCCUCCAGGUUCUGCGUUACGGCCCUGUGUUUGCUGCCAGAGCGCAGUGCACGGCGCUUCUCCUGUAUGGGGGAAUUUUCCUGCCAUAAUCCAAGAGAUGACAUUUUCAUUUUGAAAGCAGGACUUCAUGUCUUCCUUCUCAAAACUUGUAACGCUUGUACUCAAAACUUCUCCUGGCGCUCACUCUUAGUCUCUGCUCAGACUCUGCUCGCUUACGAAACAUGGAACUGCCUUUUUGGCAGAGUCGCCUAGCAACUUCUCAGCCAAUAGAAUGAAAGCGUUGUGCUGGGUGCGUUUGCUACUAUUGAUUAUAGCAGAAAUCUCAGCACUGCCGGAUGUUUUUGUUCAUAUCGAUGGAUUAUUGACGUGAGAUCUCGGGGGAUUACGUUUCACAAGUAAGAUGGACAUAUUACUGUUUAUAUUUUGUGAAUAGAAUAUUACUAUACUAUAUUUAUAUCCACCAGCUAAUAUUAGCUAACCACUGCUGUAGUGCUAACGGUGUAACACCGGCUUCAGCUAUGAAGGCUAACUGAGAUUUUGUAAAUCUUAAAAAGUUUGAAUUAUUCCCUAACAUUGAUUUAGAUUAUGUGACACAAAGUUGCAAAGACUGUUAUUUAUAUGUAAUUGUUUCACUCUGUCUAAAGUAAGAUAUCUCCCGUUUUAGUUUAGAAGGUUUCAUAAAGAGGGAAAUGAGUUUAAGGAGAGACGGAUCCACUGCUAUGGAUCUCUUAAGCUGCAGUUCCUCGGCUGGAAAACAUGAAUAAAACCUACAUAGAUAUUAUGUGUAUAACCAUGUUCAUCAUUAUUUAAUCAUCUUUGUUCCUCAUAUUUAUAUAUAUAUAUAUAUUGAUAUUACUAAAUAAUAUAUU